CAAGGGGCUAAGGGGAGGGGGACCCAGUGCCAGUCGCUUAAAAAUGCCCCUGUGGUAGUAAGGGGUGCCAGAGGCCGGGUCAAGUUAGUUGAGAAGCAGUGACACCCCCCACCAUGCCCCAAACAGGCUGACCCCAUCUCUAGGCCCUGAGGAGCCACACCUGGACCAGACUGCGGGACAGACUUCACUUGGAGCAGGAAGUGGAUCAGGUACAGGAAGAAAACAGCAGCCAAUGAAUUCUUCUAUGCUCGAGUUUAACUUCCAGCCAUGAAUUUCCCUGAGAGAGAAAAAACUGGGAAGGCCCUAAAGAUCGUUCCAAUGAAGGACACUGAGACCAGAGAAGUUUCCUUAUCCAAAUAAUGAAUGUGAGACAAAGAUGCUUCUAGUACAGAUGCUCCAAGACUUCAAGUCCUGCUGCUGAAAAUCCCCCUGGUCCAGAUGGAUAACAUGCAAGAAAAAGAUACUGGGGAAAGAGGCAGAGGAACAACCCAUGCACAGGCACUGGCUGGUGGAGGCCACCUACCACCCUAGCAUUAAAGAAGCAAAAACCCCAGAGAGGGCGCCUCCUGGAGACCAGAGGAGGGAGAGGGUAGGCAGCCCUGGAAGCAAAAUUGAGAAACAGAUGCCCAGAGAAGAAAGGGCUGAGCCAGAUCACACUGUGAAUUGGGAGUCAAGUCAGGACCAGCCUCCCCUUCACCCGCCCUUCCCAGAGCCUCCCAACAGCCUACCGAUCGAGGUUCCCCCAACCCAGCAACGUUUCCCGGAGACAUGGAGAAAGGGAGGGUAGCAGUGUGUUCUCCUGGGAGCAGUCCCCAAGUCACCUGCAGCCAGCACUGAAAGCCACCAGGUAAAAUUCUGACACCUCCUGGCUCAGUCACCUUCUUUAACAGAAGGGGAAAGAGUACAACAGGGAGGAGAGGGGUCUGGUGUGAAGUAACUUACCAACUGGCGACAGAACCAGGACUCCCAAAUGGCCUCCAUCAUCUCCAGUGGGAUCCAGUGUGAAGGAACCUUUCAUGGGCCCUAAGGAAAGGCUGCUUCCUGCUUUCACACACCUCUGAGGACAUAUGUCACCUGGCACCAAGGCCACCACAUUUGCCAUCAGCCAAAGCAGAGGGUCCUCUUCAGAGCCUGAGAGCUUGGCAGAGCAGGAGGAAUUGGGGAAGAGCUUUGCUCACCUGGAAGUUCUCACCCAAGUCAGGCCCAGAGAAGAACGUGAAUUAUCUAAAUGGUCAUUUAAUCAGUUACCACAUGGCAUUCCCUGUAGCCCACCAUCCUGUAGAAAGCCUUCAGCAAGAUCUAGGGACUCCUAAGUUAACAAGGUAUGGGGCACUGUCCUCAGGGAACUGGAAAUCUAACCAGGUCUGAUGCCCAGAAAAAUAACCCCCUCCCCUAGAAAGAGCAAGUCUGAGGAUAUGAUUUAUUACUCAACCAGUGUUCAUGUGGCAUCCACACUGCCUGACCCUGACUUAGGGACUGAGGACAGUUUCCAGGGCUCCUGCCCUUGCAGGUGGGCCUUGCAGUCCACAGGUAGAGGUGGUCACAAGUGAAAACUACAGCUCAAGAGGAGUAAAGGGAAAGAGUGGUCCCAGGAUGGGGAAGAAGGUGGGGCAGGGUGUCCUGAGCUCUAAGAAGCCAAGGACAGCAUCCAGAAGAGGUCAUUUGAGAAGAAACUGAGCACGCCAAGAGGAUAGAGUCAGGAGAGCAAGGGGGCACAGUCCAGCACCGGGCAAUGGAGGGCCCCUUCAGGAGUAUAAGCCCACGGAAAAUAUGAGCAUGUUUGCAUUUUGAAAAGUUACUUUGGGAAGAUGGGUAGGAAAAAAGGAGGAGGAUGGGAAGGGAGAGAGGUAGGAUCAAGUGUUUAAUGAAUAAAUAUCAAGUAUCAGGAUGCUGUUUGGGGAAUGUCACACAUAAAGAUGAGACAUAGGGUCAGAAAGGUAGACCAGACUGCUUGAUGAUUCCAAUUAUCAAACCAUCCAGAACAGGAAGAUGUACAGAAGGAGAAAAUGGUCUACCUAGGGCUGGGGUUGACUAAGAAGAGGACUUUCUUUCUUUCCCUAAUUCUUUCCUUUUUUCUUCUUUCUUUCUUUCUUUCUCUCUUGGGGGAUGAUGAAAUAUUCUAAAACAGAUUGUAGUGAUGGUCACACACCUUUGUGAUUAAAAAACAUUUAAGACCAAAUGCAGUGGCAUUCUAAUCCCAGUGACUGGGGAGGUGAAGCAGGAGGAUGGCAAAUUUGCGACUGGUCAGCAAUUUAGUGAGACCCUGUCUCAGGACAAAAAAAUGAAAGGGGCUGGGGAUGUAGCCCAGAGGUAAAGCACCCUUGGGUUCAAUCUCUAGUCCAAAAGGAAAAGAAAAGGAAGGCUGAGGUUUGGUCCCAACGGGCUCCAAUGGCAAGCCAUGGCCAGGAAACGCUGCUGAGUAGCUCCAGCAGUCCCUGGACAAGGCCAGCGGAGUGGAGCUCAGGUUCCCUCUAAUGCCCCUUCUCCUGUCCAGGGAGGCGUGCCCACCACCGGCCACCGAGCGGAGCAGUGCAGUGCCCUGUCCCCCAGCCUGAGGUGCAGUGCUGCAUCUCUGGUCAGUUGGGAGUCUGAGAUGAAGCACUGUAGCUCAGGAAGGGAGAAGUUGUUCUGCAGCCAUCGGCCUGGAAGCGGUAAGUGAAGUACCAGGAAGAACGGGCGUUCACAGACUGCAGACCCUCAGCAGCUUGCAGAGGUGGGGAGAUUCUACCAGUGUCACUGUGGGCUUUAUGAUUCCAAGCAGGCCCUGCCUCAGUGAACCCAAAUGUCCGUUUGUCGCACAAGGUGCUGGGUCACUCAGUGGAGAGUGUGUCUAGUAAUCUGCCUCACAUCCUCUUUCUGAGCCCACAGCAGACUGCUAAUUUGCCAAGGCAGCCAUUCUUGAAGUGUUUGGAUACAGCUUCAGAAUCCUGCUCAGCUGAGCCACUCUUAAUGAUUUGGAGCUGAAACCCAUUCAUCAUGUGUAGAUCAGACAAUUCCUAAAAACCUUUUCAGCCCUGGAGACCAGAAGUCCUGGGCUUUGAGUCAAGGUCUUUACUCUCUGAGCUCCUAAUCUUGGCUCUGGGCUGUUGCCUAAACCAUGCAGGCAUCUCAUAAAUGUGUGCACUCUCCCAGAGGCUUUGGACAAACAAUGAGCAGCAGAGGAAAGCCACUGGGCUGGCACAAGUUUAUUUAACCUCCCCAAAAAGCGUGGGAGAUGGACAGUGUCACUGGACCACUUUAUAGAGGAAAAAACUAAGGCUCCAUUAAGUGACUUGCCCAAGUGCACACAGCUUGUGCUGAACUGAGGUUGUACCCUAAUCUGUCUGCCUCCAGAUCCACCUUCUUACCCAUCAGUGUAAUUAUGGAAUCAGGACAGGGGAGCAGGAGAAGCCCACUUGUAUCGCCUUGGGUCACUUUAGCAAAAACAGACCAGAACACUUUCAUUAAUCCCAUGGAUUCCUUUCCCCUGCUCUCUGAUCUCAUUUAUCUCCCAACUAGACCCACUUUAUAAUGAAGUAAACCCAGGGAUCAGGGGUUAAGUGAUUUGCCGGAGGUCAUCAGUGAGGAAAUUACCAGAGACUGGGAACCCAAUCUGCCCAAUUGGUUUAGAUUCACCCCUCUGACUGGAGCCUCAGCAAUACAUGAGACCCAUGGACAUCACAGAGGCGGAGGAAGGGGGUUGAGGCUGGGAUCUGGGUUGCCAAAUGGUUCUGAUGGACAUCAUCAGUCUGGGCUUUGAUGAAAGGGAAGGUACUUUCCAGGGCACUUGAAGUUCCAGUCACUACUCUUCCCAGAGCAAUGAGCUGCAUCCUGCGAGACGUGGCACCCCACGCCGGCCGCUGCAGCUGUGGCUGAAUGCAGACGUAACUCCAGCUGGUCCGUAGGGAUGUGGCAGCCUUGGUACUGAAGGCUACUCUCUCCCACCUUGUCCUCACGGUCCAGUUUUCCCAGGAAUCCCUUGGAUGCUAAGAUGGGGAUUCCUGGAAAUACUGUUCUUGAGGUCACGGUUUAGCAGCUGGAUUCGCCUCCUUCCCACCCCAGCAGUGCCCCAUGGGAUGAGGGUCAAGGAGAAGGUCAUGCACUGGAGGUAAGAGGGCUUGUGAACCACGUUCUUGACCUUUAAGUUGCUUUUCUUUCCACUGUGUCCAUUUCGUAACAUCCCUGUGAGGCUGGAUGUGGGAACUUCAGCACUGUCGCACUCUGGAGAAGCUUGUCCCAAGUCACACAGCUGAGCAGUGGUUGAACCAGGACAUCAGGAGGCACUAGCUCCUUCGUGUCCCUCCCCACUCUCACCCCCUUCCCUGCAGGCUUUGUGAUAGGAACAACAGUAUCGUAUCCAUGUUACUGAGAAACUAAUACAUGCAUGUAAAUUUAUUUUAAAAAUUUAUUAAUUGGGUAAACUACAAACCAUAAGGCUUAGUUUGGUUUGAAAAGCAGCCUCAGAAAAAAAGGAAAUUUUUCAUCAGAAAAAAAAAAAAAAAAAAAAAAAAAAAGACUCAGGACGCCCUCUUGUGGUGCUUCUAC